rnacentral:rRNA from 1 species
UGGGGAAUUUUUGGACAAUGGGCGCAAGCCUGAUCCAGCUAUUCCGCGUGUGGGAUGAAGGCCCUCGGGUUGUAAACCACUUUUGUAGAGAACGAAAAGACACCUUCGAAUAAAGGGUGUUGCUGACGGUACUCUAAGAAUAAGCACCGGCUAACUACGUGCC